GUGCACACUUCAUUGACUUUUCUUCAUGUUAAGAGAAAAAAAUAUUUCUGAUGUGUUAAAUAAACCUUUGGAGAUAAAUUAGCAGCAUGACUUAAUUUACCCAUUGCUGUCAGUCACCUUCAGACAACA
ensembl:snoRNA